AUAUAUAGUUAUUUCUGCUCAAUGAUUUUAAAUAGCCGCAGUACUCUGACUGUGCAAAGGUAGCAUAAUCAGUUGGCUUUUAAUUGGAGUCUGGCAUGAAUGAAAAUAUGGGUAGUAACUGUCUUAGCAUAUUAUUUGAACUUAUUAAACAAGUGCAAAUGCUUGUAUUUACACAAUAGACGAGAAGACCCUAGAAACUUGAAUUGAUUUUUGUUGGGGCGACAGAAUUACAUUUAACUAAUUUUUAUUACAUGACGCAAGGUUGAAAGAAUAAGUUACUCUAGGGAUAACAGCAUAAUUUUAGUAGUUUGUGACCUCGAUGUUGGACUAGGUAUUAUACCCUUUAGACAAGGGUAUACCAUGCUCUGUUCGAGCAAGAUUACCUACAU
rnacentral:rRNA from 1 species